rnacentral:rRNA from 1 species
UAAUACGUAGGGUGCGAGCGUUAAUCGGAAUUACUGGGCGUAAAGCGUGCGUAGGCGGUUUUUCAAGCUUGAUGUGAAAGCCCCGGGCUUAACCUGGGAAUGGCAUUGAGGACUGAGAGGCUAGAGUGCGGCAGAGGGAGGUGGAAUUCCACGUGUAGCAGUGAAAUGCGUAGAGAUGUGGAGGAACACCGAUGGCGAAGGCAGCCUCCUGGGCCGACACUGACGCUGAUGCACGAAAGCGUGGGGAGCAAACAGGAUUAGAUACCCUGGUAGUCCACGCCCUAAACGAUGUCAACUGGUUGUUGGGGAAGGCAACUUCCUUAGUAACGAAGCUAACGCGUGAAGUUGACCGCCUGGGGAGUACGGCCGCAAGGUUA